GUGCUGGCGUUGGCAGCACACAUACUAAAAUUGGAAGGAUACAGAGAGGAUGAGCAAGUCCCUGCGCAAGGAUGAUACACACGUUCGUGAAGCAGUCCACAUUUUG